UACGUAGGGGGCAAGCGUUGUCCGGAUUUAUUGGGCGUAAAGAGCGUGUAGGCGGCCUGACAGGUCUGCUGUGAAAACUCGAGGCUCAACCUCGAGAUGUCGGCGGAAACCGUCUGGCUAGAGUCCGGAAGAGGAGAGUGGAAUUACGGGUGUAGCGGUGAAAUGCGUAGAUAUCCGUAGGAACAUCCGAGGCGAAGGCGGCUCGCUGGAUCACAACUGACGCUGAGGGACGAAAGCUAGGGGAGCAAACAGG
rnacentral:rRNA from 1 species